UACGUAGGGUCCGAGCGUUUGUCCGGAAUUAUUGGGCGUAAAGAGCUCGUAGGCGGUUUGUCGCGUCUGCUGUGAAAUCCCGAGGCUCAACCUCGGGUCUGCAGUGGGGUACGGGCAGACUGGAGUGCGGUAGGGGGAGAAUGGAAUUCCUGGUGUAGCGGUGGAAUGCGCAGAUAUCAGGAGGAACACCGAUGGCGAAGGCAGUUCUCUGGGCCAUAACUGACGCUGAGAAGCGAAAAGCUGGGGGAGCGAACAGG
rnacentral:rRNA from 1 species